UCAAAACGAAAUCGAUUGGGCUUUGGAGCAGAAUCCCAUUUGUUAUUUGAAAAGGAAAUUACUUUCGACGAUAGUUAAUGUCGUUAACUUUCAUUUCUCUCUGGUCUUAUUCUAGAGCAGCAACUCGCACUUUUACACAAACUCACUCAAACAAAUCUCCAUCCAAUUUGUUUCUUCAGAGGCAAACAAGUUAUCAAUAAUAUAACAAUUUUUUUUUCUUCAAAAUUUGGUCAAAUGUUAGUGUUUAUUGAAUUUUUGGGUAGUUUGUGAUUCAGUAUAAACUGAUACUGAAUAAUAAAGGAAAUAAUACAAGACACAAGCAACAUGUAAUACAUAAAGGCAGGCCAAUCCAAUCCAAAUCCAAAUACAAAUAACAAAAGAAACAAGUCUGUCUUCCCAUGAGCUAAGUCGCAUUGUCUUUCCCCUUCGCCACCUGUUCAUCUAUAAAAAAAAUAAUUAAACGAGGUAAAAUUACAUCCCAAAAAGAUAUCUUCAUGUAAUAAACUUCUAGGAAUACUUUAGAUACAACAUUACCAGGUACAUAUAAGUCUUAUGAAUUACCGAUGUGUAUUUUGAAGUCACAUACUUUUAGUCUUUUGAUGUAUGAUGUGUUAUACAUUCUGCUUUAGAUAUGAAUACACUUUUAUGUUAUGAAAUAAAAUUAUAUGCUUUUCAUGGAGAGUGAUUAUAUAUGUAUACGAGUUAUGUUAAUUAAUUAGGUUUUACCUUUGAGCGUUGGGGUGUGUUACACUAUCACUAUGAUAAUACUAUUAGGUGAUUAGAUGGUAGUUCUACCAAGAGAUCUUUAAGAUAACACCCAAAGAGUAAAACUCAAUCAUCUAUUCUCAUCCCUUCAACUCUAUUACUCAAUGAUAAUUUUAUUAGAUUAUAUGUCAAGACCUAGACCAUAUGUGUCCUUAAACAUCUCUACAUCAUUUUUAAUUAAACAAUUAUAACAACAACUUUAUAAUAUAUUUAACAUGUUUAUCCUUUUUCGAUCCUUGAUUUUUUUAUUACCAGUUAGUGUAUCUCUGUAAUCCUUUUUAAUUAUAUGUGUGUGUAUGUGUGUGUGUGUGUUUUUUUUUUUUACCAUUGAAAACAAAUAUUUAGCAUGUUUUUAGAGCUAUUGAAGAAAUUGCAAGUUCUAAGAAAUAUAUAAAAGUGUAAGAGAAAUUAUAAGAGUAAGAACACUAUCAUGAUUAAAGAAAGUGAAAGGUUCAUGCAUAAUAGAGAAUUAUUUUCUACCUUAACGAAUUAAGAACUUUACAAUAACCUUUAAUACAUGCCAGUUUUCCAAAAGGUGCAUUUUUAUAGCAAUCAUCAGUAAGUAUACACUCUCCUGUAAAUAUUACUAAAAGUGAAUGAAAUAUUGUAUACAAAAUAAACAGAAAAUGAGAAUAAUUAUAUUAACUAUUAGACUUUAAGCUGUCGACGACAACAAGACACAAGGAAACCAAAAAGAUAACAAUAUAAACGAAUUUGAGAGUUGCAACCAUUUUUUCCACCUUUGUAACAUAUAUAAAAUGCGUUGAUCACAUUAUAUAGUAAAAACAUAUUUCUAUGUUUAUUUCAAUUAAAUCAUACUCAAAAUUAGAAUAAUUAUUAAUGUCUCUAAAGUUUGUCAUAUCUCUAAAAUUCAUUGAUGAAUCAUAUUUGUCCCUUUAGCUCGUAUAAUAGAUCUCACAAAACAAUCUUGCUUGUAAUUGGAGUUCAUUCUUGUUUGGUGGAUCAACAUUCACCAAUACAGCAGUUUAAAUAUAUUUGCCAACCUUUUAUUUUUAUCUUUUAUUUUUUUAUCUACCCUUUCAUAAUAGAGAGAAGAAAACCAACAUUGUAUUAUGCUGGUAUGAGUGGAAUUGGACUCAUAUUUUAGCAAAAGUGUUUGAUGAAAUACUAGAUAAAAAGUAAAAAAUAAUAACGAAAAAUGAAGAAAUAUUUAAAAUACAUUCUAAGAUAAGCUAUUUAAACAAAUUUUUCAUUUGAAGCUUCUUUAAAAAUUCUUUGUUAAUAAAAUUAUAACAAAAAGAUGUUACACUAUAAAAAUCUAUUUAAAAACAAACUAUAACAAAUGGC
rnacentral:lncRNA from 1 species